rnacentral:rRNA from 1 species
GUAGGUGGCAAGCGUUGUCCGGAUUUACUGGGCGUAAAGGGCUUGUAGGCGGUUCGUUAAGUCCGGUGUGAAAUCUCCCGGCUCAACCGGGAUGGGUCAUCGGAUACUGGCGAGCUAGAGGUGGGCAGAGGAAGGCAGAAUUCCCGGUGUAUCGGUGAAAUGCGUAGAUAUCGGGAGGAAUACCAGUGGCGAAGGCGGCCUUCUGGGCCUAUCCUGACGCUGAGGAGCGAAAGCGUGGGGAGCAAACCGGAUUAGAUACCCGGGUAGUCCACGCCCUAAACGGUGGAUGCUAGGUGUGGGGGGUAUCGACCCCCUCCGUGCCGCAGCUAACGCUUUAAGCAUCCCGCCUGGGGAGUACGGCCGCAAGGCUA